GCUUCUGGUUUUGGCAGCAUGCUUCUAAAACUGGAACCAUUACAGAGAUUAGUAUAGCUCCCGUGUAAGAAUGACAUAUAAAUUCUUAAACCAUUCGCAUUUUAA
rnacentral:snRNA from 1 species